rnacentral:rRNA from 1 species
UGGGGAAUUUCGGACAAUGGGCGAAAGCCUGAUCCAGCAAUGCCGCGUGUGUGAAGAAGGCCUUCGGGUUGUAAAGCACUUUUGUCCGGAAAGAAAUCCUUGGCUCUAAUACAGUCGGGGGGAUGACGGUACCGGAAGAAUAAGCACCGGCUAACUACGUGCCAGCAGCCGCGGUAAUACGUAGGGUGCAAGCGUUAAUCGGAAUUACUGGGCGUAAAGCGUGCGCAGGCGGUUUGCUAAGACCGAUGUGAAAUCCCCGGGGCUCAACCUGGGGAACUGCAUUGGUGACUGGGCAGGCUAGAGUAUGGCAGAGGGGGGUUAGAAUUCCACGUGUAGCAGUGAAAUGCGUAGAGAUGUGGAGGAAUACCGAUGGCGAAGGCAGCCCCCUGGGCCAAUACUGACGCUCAUGCACGAAAGCGUGGGGAGCAAACAGGAUUAGAUACCCUGGUAGUCCAGCGCCCUAAACGAUGUCAACUAGUUGUUGGGGAUUCAUUUCCUUAGUAACGUAGCUAACGCGUGAAGUUGACCGCCUGGGGAGUACGGUCGCAAGAUUAAAAC